rnacentral:rRNA from 1 species
UACGUAGGGUGCGAGCGUUGUCCGGAAUUAUUGGGCGUAAAGGGCUCGUAGGCGGUUUGUCGCGUCGGGAGUGAAAUCCACUGGCUUAACUGGUGGCUUGCUUUCGAUACGGGCAGACUGGAGGUAUGCAGGGGAGAACGGAAUUCCUGGUGUAGCGGUGAAAUGCGCAGAUAUCGGGAAGAACACCUAUGGCGAAGGCAGCUCUCUGGGACGGUACUGACGCUGAGACGCGAAAGCGUGGGGAGCGAACAGG